GCAAGUCGUGCGAGAAAGUAUCUUCGGAUAUGAGUAGAGCGGCGGACGGGUGAGUAACGCGUAGGAAUCUACCUAGUAGAAGGGGAUAGCCCGGGGAAACCCGGAUUAAUACCGUAUACCUCCUUCGGGAGAAAGAAGGCCUCUCUUUGAAGCUUUCGCUACUAGAUGAGCCUGCGUAGAUUAGCUUGUUGGUGAGGUAAAGGCUCACCAAGGCAACGAUCUUUAGCUGGUCUGAGAGGACGAUCAGCCACAUUGGGACUGAGACACGGCCCAGACUCCUACGGGAGGCAGCAGUGGGGAAUAUUGGACAAUGGGCGCAAGCCUGAUCCAGCCAUACCGCGUGUGUGAAGAAGGCCUUCGGGUUGUAAAGCACUUUAAGCAGGGAGAAAAAGUUAUAAGUUAAUACCUUAUAGCCUUGAUGUUACCUGCAGAAUAAGCACCGGCUAAUUCCGUGCCAGCAGCCGCGGUAAUACGGAAGGUGCAAGCGUUAAUCGGAAUUACUGGGCGUAAAGCGCGCGUAGGUGGUUUGUUAAGUUGGAUGUGAAAGCCCUGGGCUCAACCUAGGAACUGCAUCCAAAACUAACUCACUAGAGUACGAUAGAGGGAGGUAGAAUUCAUAGUGUAGCGGUGGAAUGCGUAGAUAUUAUGAAGAAUACCAGUGGCGAAGGCGGCCUCCUGGAUCUGUACUGACACUGAGGUGCGAAAGCGUGGGUAGCGAACAGGAUUAGAUACCCUGGUAGUCCACGCCGUAAACGAUGACAACUAGCUGUUGGGAGACAAAGUCUUUCAGUGGCGCAGCUAACGCUUUAAGUUGUCCGC
rnacentral:rRNA from 1 species